UCAGGUAAUAGCUGGACGUUAUCAAGGGUUGCUGCGUAUGGUGCAGGGUAUGAGAGAUGUCAUUACUCACAUGGUUCGAGAUUUAGCUCGAUGCCAGCAGGAUGCAGCUUGCUUUUGGCAUGAUGCAGCUCGCUUUAGGAUGGAUGCAGCUUGCUUUUGGCAGGAUGCAAACCGUUUUUAUUGUGAGCUUGAGGAGUUGAAGUCCAGAAUGGGUGGUAAGACGGUGGUUUCUUAGGACUUAAUGGCUCCGGUUUCUCCAUCAAAAAAGAGAAAGUUGGGUACAGAGGAAUCUAGCCUUAGUGAAACACAGGAAGUUUGUAUUGAGAAACAUGAGCAUCAAAAAUCGAAUGACAGGCCUGCCAUCCCUGUUCUCCUGGUCCAGGAAUCUGUUAUAGAAGAGAAUAUGGAUGAGUCGGAUGACAGGCCCCAACGCGAAGAUGUAGAACAGGUGAUGUAUGGUUGAAAGCCAUGAACAAGUAUUGGAUGCAGAACAGGUGAUGUAUGGUUGUCUUAAUUCAAGAAAAGACGAACUUGAGAGCCAACUUCUAGAGGUGAAGAUUGACAUUAGGAAAUCUGAAGCCAAGAUUUCAUCUGAGCGGGAAGUGAUUCGAAAAAAGAUGGCACAGAAAUACAUUUUCUUGUUUGAGUCUGUUCUUGGGAAUUUGUUCAGUUGAUGUUACAAAGUGAUUGUAGAUGCGCGUCCGUUGCAGGUUGGUAACAGGAAAAUGAAGCUUCGUCUGAAUCAGUUAUUUUUGUACAUAAAUGAUGAGUGAAAGGAACUAGAACGAACAGCGCAGUGCAGUAGCAUAUGCACAUAACUCUAAUCUAUUAGUAUGAUUAUAAAUCCUAUAUUAUGAUA